rnacentral:SRP_RNA from 1 species
GACAGUGUGGUGGUGCUUGCCUGGAGGCCCAGCUACUCAGGGGGCUGAGGUGGAAGGAUCGCUUGAACCCCAGAGUUCUGGGCUGUGGCACACUGUGCCAGAGACUACACCAAGUUCAGCCAUCAGUAUGAUGACCUCCCAGAAGUAGUGGACCACCAGGUUGCUUAAGAGUGGUGAAUUGGUCCAGAUUGGAAGUGGAGCAGGUUAAAACUUCCCCUUCUGAUCAGUAGUGGGAUUACAUCUGUGAAUAGCCAUUGCACUCCAGCCUGGGCAACAUAGUGAGACCUUGUCUCUU